GCCCCUUCGGCAACCGUGGCUCCUGAAGUUCUCGUCGCUGUGUUACAGCGUUACUACUAAGGCAGCUUACAUGAUUUUGUCGUUUCAGGAAUUUUCGAAUUACUCUACUGGGGCAGGAUUAUGCGUGAUGGCUUGAAGGCUGCAGCGCCAUGAUCAAGGGCUGGGCGUUCCUGCUUCAUGGUGCUCCAAAGUUCAUGCCUCCAUGGGAAGUUGAUGCAGGUCAAGCGUCAGAUCCAGUCUACUCUCCUCGCAACAAUCAGGAUUAGCUUAGGAAGCUGCAUAAGAUAUUGGAAUAUCAUAUAACUGCUGCCUCGAACAUGACACCAAGCCUUCAAAUUGGCUUACAACAUAAUGUGACUACUGUUAGAACUGAAUUUAUGUAUACUGGAGACAAGUUGGCUUAUAUUCCUGGAAAUUGCUAUUUUGGCGAGAGCAAAAUACUAGAGGAGCCUCCUUUGUACUAUUGUAAUCAGGCCUACAUGGAGCAAGCGAGAGAAAAAAACUUACAAGGCAACCAAGCAUUUUAGAAGGCCGUGGAGUAGCAGGAAUCUAGGACCUCAAGUCAGUCCCCGGGGUCUUUGACUGAAUAGUAUCCUCAGUUUUUGGCAAAAGUUGUGAACACCAUAGGAAGCUGUGUGUAGCAUCAAUGUGAUCCUUUUUAACUUCCCCUUGUAAAAUCUUUUAUUUUUCGAGUGACACUUGUAAAAUCUUUCCAUGAUAGAUUAGAAUGUAGAAUGUUGAGUUUUUUUUUAUAGGAUCC